rnacentral:piRNA from 1 species
UGCUAAGGUUUCCUCUCAGAGUUGUG